ensembl:snRNA U6 U6 spliceosomal RNA
GUGCCCACUUUGGCAGCACAUUUACUAAAUGGGAUGAUACAGAAAAGAUUAGCAUAGUACCUUUGCAAAGAUGACACAUAAACUCAUGAAGUGCUCCAUGUUGUU